CGUUUUCCAGAGUUGGAUAGAACUAGGGCCGGAGCCGAUGAAGUUGAGGAUGGCGAUGGUGUUGGAGAGGAUUCAGCAAGAGGGUUUUGGUUUAGAUGUGGAGGCAUUAGUCCCUUUUCUAAGUCCCUCUCUCCCCCCUCUUCAAUAGGAGAGGCCAUGAUUUCUUGAAAAUUUCUUGGUAGUGAAAGAAAUAAAGAGACCUAAGGGGUCAUCAAAUGGAAGAAAGCGAGAGAAAGUAAGAAGGUACAGAGAAGGAUCGUAAGGGCUCGAGUGGAGAUUGU
rnacentral:misc_RNA from 1 species